AGAGCGAACGCUGGCGGCAGGCCUAAUACAUGCAAGUCGAACGGAUCCUUCGGGAUUAGUGGCGGACGGGUGAGUAACACGUGGGAACGUGCCCUUUGGUUCGGAACAACUCAGGGAAACUUGAGCUAAUACCGGAUGUGCCCUUCGGGGGAAAGAUUUAUCGCCAUUGGAGCGGCCCGCGUCUGAUUAGCUAGUUGGUGGGGUAAAGGCCUACCAAGGCUACGAUCAGUAGCUGGUCUGAGAGGAUGAUCAGCCACACUGGGACUGAGACACGGCCCAGACUCCUACGGGAGGCAGCAGUAGGGAAUCUUGCGCAAUGGGCGAAAGCCUGACGCAGCCAUGCCGCGUGAAUGAUGAAGGUCUUAGGAUUGUAAAAUUCUUUCAGCGGGGACGAUAAUGACGGUACCCGCAGAAGAAGCCCCGGCUAACGUUCGCGCCAGCAGCCGC
rnacentral:rRNA from 1 species